GAUGAACGCUAGCGGCAGGCCUACCACAUGCAAGUCGAGGGGUAACUAGAGUGAUAGCAAUAUUACUUUGUCUAGACCGGCGCACGGGUGCGUAACACGUAUGCAACCUACCUUAUACUGGGGAAUAACUUCGAGAAAUCGGCGCUAAUACCCCAUAACAUUGCGAAGAGGCAUCUCUUUGCAAUUAAAGCUCAGGCGGUAUAAGAUGGGCAUGCGUCCAAUUAGCUAGUUGGUGAGGUAACGGCUCACCAAGGCUACGAUUGGUAGGGGUUCUGAGAGGAUGAUCCCCCACACCGGUACUGAGACACGGACCAGACUCCUACGGGAGGCAGAAGUGAGAAAUAUUGCGCAAUGGACGAAAGUCUGACGCAGCCAUGCCGCGUGCAGGAUGACGGCCCUAUGGGUUGUAAACUGCUUUUGUACGGGAAUAAACCCUUCUACGUGUAGGAGGCUGAAGGUACCGUAAGAAUAAGCACCGGCUAACUCCGUGCCAGCAGCCGCCGUAACAC
rnacentral:rRNA from 1 species